AGAAGAUGAGAUCUGUCAAUAAUGGAGUCUCGCAACUCGCGAGUAGGUGGGUCCACCUAGUGUACAGAGACAAAAGUGAUAUCACGUGAGUCGCACACGACGAUUUGCAUAAGUACAUUGUCGGGACAUUGGAUCCACCCGAUGAUUGAGUAUGAAGAGAUUGAAACUAAAGAUGUGGAGACGUGCAAGAUCUGCUUAUAUGUAUUCUGAAACUUGUGAAUUUACAUUGAUCUACGUUUUUUUUCACUUCACUCGUGAUGGUUCUGAGACUUGACUGUUUGUCAUUUCUUUUUUGUCUUAACCAUACAUUGGUAGAGAAUGAAUCAUCAAAAUUCUCUUUUUUUUUUGCCAAAAUAUGGUUGCUCGCUGCA